GACGAACGCUGGCGGCAGGCCUAACACAUGCAAGUCGAACGAGUGGCGGACGGGUUCGUAAUGUCUGGGAAACUGCCAGAUGGAGGGGGGUAACUACUGGAAACGGUAGCUAAUACCGCAUACCAUCAGAUACGCACAUAUGGGAUUAGCUAGUAGGUGGGGUAACGGCUCACCUAGGCGACGUUCCCUAGCUGGUCUGAGAGGAUGACCAGCCACACUGGAACUGAGACACGGUCCAGACUCCUCCGUGAGGCAGCAGUGGGGAAUAUUGCACAAUGGGCGCAAGCCUGAUGCAGCCAUGCCGCGUGUAUGAAGAAGACCUUCGGGUUGUAAAGUACUUUCAGCGAGGAGGCGUUACUCGCAGAAGAAGCACCGACUAACCCCGUGCCAGCAGCCGCGGUAAUUC
rnacentral:rRNA from 1 species